CCCCUGGUGCGCCAUUGGUAUGUGCUGCACCGACCGGCCCUGAUUCGAGAGAAUCCAAUCCAACCAAAGCAACACAACACAACGCUUCCUCCUCCUCUCCCCUCGAAUCGAUCCCCUCCAAACCCGCCGCCGCCGCCAUGGACCUCCUAUCCCCAUCCCCACCGGCGUUCUCGUCUCCUCUAGCCUCACCGUCGACCUCCCGCCCCGCCUGCAUCCUGUCGCCGGCGCCCCCACCCUCCCCCUUUCCGUCUCUUCCUAGGAGGGAGCGAGGCCUCAGAUCCAUAGGCCGCGACAACCACCGCCACCGCGUCCUACUCCUUCCACCCCACCUAGCCGCCCUCCGCCUCCACAGCUCUCUGUCCCUCCCUCCCUCCUCGCGCCCGCAGCCAUGUCGACCGAGCUCAGGACCCCUCUCCUCCAAGACCAAAACGCAGGCAACAGGCCAGGGCGACUUCAGCGCCUCCCUUCUCCUGGACGGCAGUUCAGUCGUGUUGGUCCUGCGCCCCCACAACCAGAGAGGAGGGGAGAGGGGGCGGAGAUGCUGCUGCUGCACGGGCUGACGGGGAAGAACAAGCAGGCAUGGAAGGAGGGCAAGAUCCGCGGCAUGGCGGUGCUGGUCAAGAGUGGCGUGCUCGACCUCGGCGACUUCAACUCAUCCGUCCUCGACGGCAUCCACAAGAUCCUCGACAGCCAAGGACGAUGGCGUCUCCUUCCAUCUCGUCAGCGCCACCGCACCCAACCCCCGGAUUGAAGGUUGUCAACAAAGAAAGGAAGAAAGAAAGAAAGAUCCAUUUCUCCAUGGAAGGAGGAAGGGACAUCUUGAUCGCAAGUGACUGACUGGAAGCAACUGAGGGAGCCGGCAACCUCUCCGACAUGCUGCUCAUGACCACCUCCCCAACCAGAUGCUGUUGGUAAGCUCUCUCUUCUCCCCCUCCAUCUAUUUGCUAAGCACACAUGUAUGCAAGAUGGAAAUCCAUCUUUUUGACUCGAUUUUGCUGAAAAAUGUUUCUUUUUAUCCUGUUGGAUGUGUAGGCAGUAGAGGAAGUAUGGAUGUUAAUUUUGUUUCACUCAAUAAAAUCCUUGUGUGUGCUAAUUAUGCAUUGGCAGUAGGCAGUAGACUUAGCCAUUUGUCAAGAUGAGGACCCUACGGCACAGCGAGCCGCACUGGACGGUGGCGCAAUGCAUGAGGUACAGAACUUAAACUCCUUCAUCGUCACAUCAAUCACAACGUUUAUGUCACUAAAUAGUUAAUUUCUUAGGAAUAGAGCAUGUCUCCUUGGGCUAAACAGUAACAAAGUUCAGAAUAUUAAAGUUUAGAUUAUUAACCUUAACUUUCAUUUAUCAAAGAUCUGCACACUUUGUUUUGGAUCCACACACCUAGGCUCGUCUAAUGUGAUCGGAUCUGGCCAGAUUCCUUUUGAUGCAUCACCUGUUACUCUUUUCGGUGAAUUAUGUUAGUAGUAAUAUUGAUUAGCUAGUUGCAUGUGUGUUGUUAGCAGGAUUAGCGUGGCCGUAGCUUAGGUCAAGCAUGUACCUUAUGUUUUGUCUCAUGUAAAAAGCUUAGGACUGUGUUUACUGAGUUCUUCUGAUAGGGAACUAUGCAUCCUGAAUGGCAUAGACUCUUGGCUUCAUGAAAUGACCCAUGUCUAUGAUUCAAGGUAUCUUAGAUCUUCGAUGUCGGAUGCAAAUAAUUGCUCAAUUUCACUUCUCUGCAAUGUUCAUUCUCACAUAUUUCUAUCAUUCUUUGCAGGGAUAAAGUAAAGAAAAAGAAGAAAAG